UACGGAGGGGGCUAGCGUUGUUCGGAAUUACUGGGCGUAAAGCGCACGUAGGCGGCUUUGCAAGUUAGAGGUGAAAGCCCGGGGCUCAACUCCGGAAUUGCCUUUAAAACUGCAUCGCUAGAAUUGUGGAGAGGUAAGUGGAAUUCCGAGUGUAGAGGUGAAAUUCGUAGAUAUUCGGAAGAACACCAGUGGCGAAGGCGGCUUCCUGGACCGACACUGACGCUGAGGCGCGAAAGCUAGGGGAGCAAACGGG
rnacentral:rRNA from 1 species